UCUUGGUCAUUUAGAGGAAGUAAAAGUCGUAACAAGGUUUCCGUAGGUGAACCUGCGGAAGGAUCAUUACAGAAAGUAAACGCGGAUCAAACCGCGAACUUUUAAACCUUUGACGAUUGACUCAUGUUGCCUCGGCGGGCUCGCCCGCCAGAGGAUACAUCAAAACUCCUGUUUUAAACGGUGUUGUCUGAGCUACAAGCAACGAAUCAAAACUUUCAACAACGGAUCUCUUGGUUCUGGCAUCGAUGAAGAACGCAGCGAAAUGCGAUAAGUAGUGUGAAUUGCAGAAUUCAGUGAAUCAUCGAAUCUUUGAACGCACAUUGCGCCCCUUGGUAUCCCGAGGGGCAUGCCUGUUCGAGCGUCAUUUCACCACUCAAGCCUGGCUUGGUGUUGGGUGACGUCCAUUUUAAGGACGCGCCUCGAAACGCUCGGCGGCGUGGCACCGGCUUUAAGCGUAGCAGAAUCUUUCGCUUCGAAAGUCGGGGCCCCGUCUGCCGGAAGACCCAUUCGCAAGGUUGACCUCGGAUCAGGCAGGGAUACCCGCUGAACUUAAGCAUAUCA
rnacentral:misc_RNA from 1 species